rnacentral:rRNA from 1 species
UUGAGACUUCGGUGGAUUUGAUCUAUUUCUAGUGGCGGACGGGUGAGUAACGCGUGGGUAACCUGCCUUAUACAGGGGGAUAACAGUCAGAAAUGGCUGCUAAUACCGCAUAAGCGCACAGAGCUGCAUGGCUCAGUGUGAAAAACUCCGGUGGUAUAAGAUGGACCCGCGUUGGAUUAGCUUGUUGGUGGGGUAACGGCCCACCAAGGCGACGAUCCAUAGCCGGCCUGAGAGGGUGAACGGCCACAUUGGGACUGAGACACGGCCCAGACUCCUACGGGAGGCAGCAGUGGGGAAUAUUGCACAAUGGGGGAAACCCUGAUGCAGCGACGCCGCGUGAAGGAAGAAGUAUCUCGGUAUGUAAACUUCUAUCAGCAGGGAAGAUAGUGACGGUACCUGACUAAGAAGCCCCGGCUAACUACGUGCCAGCAGCCGCGGUAAUACGUAGGGGGCAAGCGUUAUCCGGAUUUACUGGGUGUAAAGGGAGCGUAGACGGUGUGGCAAGUCUGAUGUGAAAGGCAUGGGCUCAACCUGUGGACUGCAUUGGAAACUGUCAUACUUGAGUGCCGGAGGGGUAAGCGGAAUUCCUAGUGUAGCGGUGAAAUGCGUAGAUAUUAGGAGGAACACCAGUGGCGAAGGCG